UGGGUGAUUAGCUCAGCUGGGAGAGCACCUCCCUUACAAGGAGGGGGUCGGCGGUUCGAUCCCGUCAUCACCCACCAG
rnacentral:tRNA from 1 species